UCUCCACUGGCUUAUGCUUAUCCAUUAACUUUUUCCUCAACAGUGACUCAUCAAUGAUUACCAUAAAGUUAAAGGUGUGAAUGCUCACUCAUUCUGCCGCGAGAAACACUCACAAAAGAAAAGAAUGAUGUCGCCGGGCUCAGGUGUUCUCUGCUCUGUGGUUUUAAAUGGUGUACAUACCUAGUUGUAUUUACUUAGUUGUGAUAUACAUGAUACACAUGGGGUCCUGUCUCCAAAUCUCAGUUUAUCAAGUUUAACUUAACCCGUCCGCUGUGAUGGUCACGGAUUUGGCCUUCACUGGUAGCCUGGUAACAUAUAGUCCCAGGUCUUUCUCUGCCUCUGUGGUGGAUAGUGGAGUGUUUCUCAUGUGGUAUUGGUGUGCUGGAUAUCCCUUCACUGGUAGCCUGGUAACAUACACUCCCAGGUCUUUCUCUGCCUCUGUGGUGGAUAGUGGAGUGUUUCUCAUGUGGUAUUGGUGUGCUGGAUAUCCCUUCACUGGUAGCCUGGUAACAUACACUCCCAGGUCUUUCUCUGCCUCUGUGGUGGAUAGUGGAGUGUUUCCCAUGUGGUAUUGGUGUGCUGGAUAUCCCUUCACUGGUAGC